GAGAGAGAAGAAUUUCAUUAAACUAUUGUCCAAUACAGAAUUUCUUAAUGAACAACAGCUAGAAAUCGAAUUGACAAAUCUCAAACCACUUACUUACCAACAAAAUCUAUUUCAUAUUGACACACUGAAACAUUUUAAAAGAACUAAAGAACUAUUAGAAAUCCUCAAACAAGGAAACGAAGUAUAUAUAAGUAAGAUUUUGAAACAAGGAUGGUUAGUUGGAUCGGCUUUUGACAAUACGGAUAUUGUAAAGUUUGUAAAUGAUUUUUACCUUGUUUAUCAUUCUCUAGGAGGAAAAAGUUACUAAACAAGAUUUCAAAAUGUUGGCCAGAGGAAAAGAUGGAUGUUUUGUUUGAUGCUGUUAAUAAAAAAUAUGGCUAUGCAGUAUCUACUGCUAUUCUACACAAAUGUUCUGUAUCCAAAAUAAAGUCUGAAUUAGAAGAAAACGAAAUUCUAUUUCUUCCAAAUCAAGUAUUGAACAUAUACAAGAAAAGUGAAGAGCUUUUUGAAUUCUAUUUGAUGCACUUUAAUAAAAUGUCUUAUACAAUAUACGAAGAAGACAAAGUUAUUCAUAAAGUUGAAAUCUUCCCCAAGAAAUCCUUAUAUGAUAUUGUAUUAAAAUUUCGUUCAUUACAAACUCUAAGUCCCCCAAAAGAAAUUACUUUAGAGUGAGCUGAGGCUCAUUAUGAUCAACAGGAACGAAACUUGACUUUACUAUAGAUAUUACACAAUAUUAUUGUCUCUGAUCUCAUAAGUAACAAGACAUUCUUUUGAUUCACAGUGUUCCAAAAAUUCAAAAAAUAGCUGCAGAAGACAAAUAAGAUGAUGUUCUUGCUUUUAUGGAGAUUGUAGAUAUGGGAUUUCCCAGGAGAGUGCAUAAUAGAUGGGACUAUUUUACAAAUAUGGAUAAUUUUACCUCUUUUAUAAGGUUCAAACCAAUAGUUAUUAACAUUAAAGAGCCAAUCGAGUUUUCUUAAGACUUAUAUAAAUUGGCAUUAGAUAUAUUUAUCAUCAAAUACAUGUAUUGAGGAAGCUUAUUCUGGGUUUUUGCAGCAAAAUAUAGAAUAAGACAACAUAAAUAGAAAAUAGCUAAUCAUAAUUGCAUUUUCUAAUAAGCUGGUUUCCAUUUAUCAAUUUCUAUUUGCUGCUGCUUACAUUAUAUAGGUCUUUUGGUUUUCCUUUUAUUUUAAGCUACUUCUGCUAUGAUAUGUAGAUUACAAAUGUUUAAAAAGUGUUUUUUCUUGAUUUGUAUGCUUGUCCGUUUUCGAUAACGUUUUUAAAUUUUUGUCAUGGUUUUAGAUAUAUUUUUAUCAGAAGAAAAAUUUGAUGAUC